CCAGAGGUGUGAAGGGAACAGCCAAUAGGAACGCCCUCUCUCUCUGAAAUGACCUGUGAUUGGCCUAAGUCUCCAGUCACGGACUAGAUUUUCUAAAGCUUGAAUGCAGAGCUGAGCAGAGGUGCAGAAGUCU